rnacentral:rRNA from 1 species
GACGAACGCUGGCGGCGUGCUUAACACAUGCAAGUCGAACGGAAAGGCCCUGCUUUUGUGGGGUGCUCGAGUGGCGAACGGGUGAGUAACACGUGAGUAACCUGCCCUUGACUUUGUGAUAACUUCAGGAAACUGGGGCUAAUACCGGAUAGGAGCUCCUGCUGCAUGGUGGGGGUUGGAAAGUUUCGGCGGUUGUGGAUGGACUCGCGGCUUAUCAGCUUGUUGGUGGGGUAGUGGCUUACCAAGGCUUUGACGGGUAGCCGGCCUGAGAGGGUGACCGGCCACAUUGGGACUGAGAUACGGCCCAGACUCCUACGGGAGGCAGCAGUGGGGAAUAUUGCACGAUGGGCGGAAGCCGGAUGCAGCAACGCUGCGUGCGGGAUGACGGCCUUCGGGUUGUAAACCGCUUUCGCCUGUGACGAAGCGUGAGUGACGGUAAUGGGUAAAGAAGCACCGGCUAACUACGUG